rnacentral:rRNA from 1 species
AUGUCUAGUAGGUCUUCUUCAGUUAGAACUGAAGCAGGCAGUGGAGGUAGCAUGGAUGCAGUCCAUGUAUUGGCUGCUGCUCGUGUGAUUCCGGAAGAUGAUAAUGAGAAGAAGCCUUUGUGGAGGUACGUCCAGACGUUGGAAAAUACUAGGAAAGGGAAAGGAGGCAACAAGAGAUCCAUGUGUAGGCUUUGUGAGUAUGUUAUCAAUGGUAGCUACUCAAGAGUAAAGGCACACCUUUUGAAGAUUCCUAACAUGGGUGUGAGUUCAUGUCAAAAGGUCACUGUCGAUGUUCUUGUUCAGUUGAAAGGUGAGCAAAAGAGAGCCGAUGCACUGAUUGAGAGCAAUAAACCUAGAGAAAUCCCACUGCCAACUGAAGGAUUUGGAGCAAAUGCAAGAAAGAAAAGGGGGGGUAAUCCAAUUGAGGCAUGCUUUGACAUGGAAGCUCGCAACCACCUUGAUGCAUUGAUCGCAAGGAUGUUUUACACAGCAGGGAUCCCAUUCAAUGUUGCACGUAAUCCUUGGUUCAGGGCAGCUUUCAUCUUUGCUGCCGGCCAUGCCAAUUCGUUGGCUGGCUAUGCCCCUCCAAGUUAUGAUAAGCUCAGGACCACUCUUCUGGUGCAAGAGAGGACACAUGUUGAUAGAAUGUUGAUGCCCAUCAAAUCAACAUGGAGCAGCAAAGGUGUGACUAUUGUUUCAGAUGGAUGGUCUGAUCCUCAAAGGCGUCCAUUACUUAAUUUCAUGGCUAUAACAGAAGAUGGGCCCAUGUUUCUAAGGUCAAUUAACACCGAGGGAGAGGUGAAGUCAAAGGAGUACAUCAGGGACAGGCUUUGUGAAAUUAUUGAGGCUGUUGGACCAGCAAAUGUUGUGCAGGUGAUAACAGAUAAUGCAUCAAACUGCAGGGGCGCAGGUCUGUUGGUGCAAGAAAGGUAUAAUCACAUUUUCUGGACUGCAUGUGUUGUGCACACUUUAAAUCUUGCCUUGAAGAGCAUAGGUUCAGCUACUAGCCAGGAUGACCCUCUUUAUGAUCAUUGCAAUUGGAUUAGUGAGAUUGCAGCAGAUGGCUUUCGCAUAAAACAUUUCAUUAUGAGUCAUUCCAUGAGGUUGUCUAUGUUCAAUGCUAGUAGUAAACUGAAAUUGCUUGCUGUGGCUGAUACUAGAUUUGCUUCUCAAGUUGUGAUGUUGAAGAGACUGGUACAAAUAAGACAAGCUCUAACAAUGAUGGUGGUGGGGCCAAAGUGGAAUGACUACAGAAAUGACAAUGUAGAAGGAGCACGAUUUGUGAAAGAAAAAAUACUGGAUGAUGAUUGGUGGAAUAAGGUUGAGUACUUCAUUGAAUUUGCAGAGCCAAUAUAUUCUAUGAUUAGAGCAGCUGAUACAGAUAAACCCUGCCUUCAUCUGACCUAUGAGAUGUGGGAUAUGAUGAUUGAGAAGGUGAAGGAAGUAAUAUACAGGAAAGAAGGUCUAGAACCCCAUGAAGAAUCCCCAUUCUUCUCUGCGGUCAAUGAUGUCUUAAUUUUUCGCUGGACAAAGAGUAGCACUCCGCUGCAUUGCUUGGCUCACUCGCUCAAUCCCAAGUACUACACUACAGCCUGGAUUAGUGAAGUUCCAGGCCGUCAAGCUCCACACAUGGAUCAAGAGAUUUCAGAUGAAAGAAAUGCAUGCUUUAGAAGAUUCUUUCCUCAUGGGGGCCCAGAAAUGAAUGAACUGAAACAGCAGUUUGCCAACUUCAGUCUUAUGGGUCCUGGAUUUAAUGGUUUCGACUCCAUUGAAGAUAGAUCUUUGCUAGAGCCGAAGCAGUGGUGGGGGAUUCAUGGAAAUUCUGCCCCGGCUUUGAGGACCAUUGCUCUGAAAUUACUUGGGCAACCAACCUCCUCUUCUUGUUCUGAAAGGAAUUGGAGUACAUAUGGCAUGAUACACAAUACAUUGAGGAACAGGCUCAACCCUGCACGUGCUGAAGAUUUAGUUUUUGUGCAUCAAAACUUGCGCCUUAUUUCAAGGAAAUCACCAGAGUAUAUAUCUGGCCCAUCCAGAUUUUGGGACAUUGGAGGAGAUAGAUAUGAGCUGUUCGUUGGUGGUGCUGACUUCCUGCAGCAAGCUGAACUAUCACUAGAUGAGCCUGAACUGGAGGACUUGCUGAAUGAAAUUGAAGCGUUGGAUGUGGAUUAG